CGGAGGGGCGAGCGUUAUUCGGAAUUAUUGGGCGUAAAGGGCGCGUAGGCGGCUUGAUAAGUCAAAGGUGAAAUCCCUCGGCUCAACUGAGGAACUGCCUUUGAAACUGUCGAGCUUGAGGCCGGGAGGGGGUAGCGGAAUUCCCAGUGUAGCGGUGAAAUGCGUAGAUACUGGGAGGAACACCGGUGGCGAAGGCGGCUACCUGGACCGGUUCUGACGCUGAGGCGCGAAAGCGUGGGUAGCAAACAGGAUUAGAUACCCUGGUAGUCCACGCUGUAAACGAUGGGUGCUCGGUGUCGCGGGUAUCGACCCCUGCGGUGCCUUAGCUAACGCGUUAAGCACCCCGCCUGGGGAGUACGGUCGCAAGGCUG
rnacentral:rRNA from 1 species